AUUGAACGCUGGCGGCAUGCUUUACACAUGCAAGUCGGACGAGUGGCGGACGGGUGAGUAACGCAUCGGAAACUGCCUAAUAAUGGGGGAUAACUGUUCGAAAAGGCAGCUAAUACCGCCUAUUAUCCGAUGGGCCCAUGUCGGAUUAGCUAGUAGGGGGGGUAAAGGCGCACCAAGGCGACGCUCCCUAGCUGGUCUGAGAGGAUGAUCAGCCACACUGGAACUGAGACACGGUCCAGACUCCUACGGGAGGCAGCAGUGGGGAAUAUUGCACAAUGGGCGCAAGCCUGAUGCAGCCAUGCCGCGUGUAUGAAGAAGGCCUUCGGGUUGUAAAGUACUUUCAGCGGGGAGGCGUUACCCGCAGAAGAAGCACCGGCUAACUCCGUGCCAGCAGCCGCGGUAAUUC
rnacentral:rRNA from 1 species